AUUGAAUGCUUAUUAGUUGCUCUGAUUAAUUUGAGUAAGUUGUGUUUGACUCUUUGCCUUUACUUUAUUCAAGACUAGUCUAUGUUAAAUUCUCGGAGUAGUAAUCUCAGUACAUAGCAUGGUUAGUGCAUGAACUGAGCCAGGGAUGAUCUUGGAGUUGAGAUUGGGUAGGGAGUGAAGUGUAGUUUUGAAAUGCAUCAAAAUACCAAAGCAGGAAAAAUUGGACAUGGAAGUAGGGAUGAUCAAAACAUAAUAGAAAUUAGGAACUAAGUAAAGAUAAGACAGACACUGACACCAAGAGCUCAGAAAAAUUAAGAGGCUGAAAUCAGGCAUGAAAUCAGGAAGCAGGAGGAAACCCAAACCACAGGGCUAGACAGGACAGAUGGUCAAAGCCUGAGCAUACAACCAGGAGCUGAAGGGACCAGCUUGGCCGUCAGUUGCAAGGGUGUGAGGCAGAAGCAACACAAAAGAUCUUGAUAUGAAGCAAUUAUUUUUGGUCUUAAACUGCUGGGACUCCAGAUGACCCAGACCACGGUCAGCAGGCAGAAGCCAGAUGCUAUUGUCAACAGAAUUGCCUUCAAGAUUCCUUUUCUGAUUGUUCAUUGCUGAGAUGACAUCUCACUAUAUUGCCCAGGCUGGUCUUGAACUUCUAGCCUCAAGCAAUCCUCCCACCUCAGCCUCUGAACGUACUGGAAUUACAGAUGGAGCAACUGAGAUUCUUCCCCAACUAGACUAUAAGUUCUCUGAGGGAUAAGGAACAUGUCUGGUUUCCUCAUCUCUCUGUCACAGCACCCUGUGAAUGCCUAGAAGACAGUAAGAAUCAACUGAAUGUUUGUAGAAAGAAUAACGAUACUUACCUAUAGUCUAAAGGUUUAGUGAUGAAAUGAAGUCCACUAACUUCUCUCUGCUUACUUCCACCCUCAAUAACAUAUUUCCUCAAACCCCACAGAGGAAAGACAAUUCAUUUUUUACUAUUGUUUAAUAGAGCCAUGUUUGUAUGUAGCUUCCUGUUCCGCUUAGCCCAAGACAUUAAGUGGGUCAGGAGUAAACUCUGCCCUCUGUUUUUUUCCAUUCCUUUGUCACCUGCUCAAGUGGCAGCCCAGAGCCGCUUGGCGGCUUCCCUGAAGAUGAGCAGAGUGCAGUAGAUUAGGCAUGGCCUUUCUAUCUAUUUCUACUAUGGAGAAGCUGAAAAAGCUAUAUGGCUGGAAAAAAAUCACCUUGGUACUAAUUUGCUAUUUUACAAUAUUUGAAAAUAAAGACCUGUGGUCUUCCUAUGUAUUUCUUUUUAAACAAUGAGGGGUAUGGAACAUCUAUGAAUAAACAUCAAGGUCUUCAAGUGAAUUUUCAGGUUGUGAAGUAUGUGAUUUGUUACUACUAGGGAGAGAUGUUUCCUAACCAUAAAAAUGAAUGUGACUUUUUUUUUUUAAAGGAUGCAACUAAAUUAUAAAAGACAAUCAUUUCACUGGUGGGAAUAGAAUUCACUUAUUCUGAGUCAUGCCUAUUGCAUUACAUUUUGUUUAGCAUAAUUAAUGGUGAAUCUGAGUUGUCCCACAGAAGUAAACCCUAAUUCUCCUCUCCCUACUUCUACCUCUCUCAUUUUAAAGUCUUCAAUUAGUUUUUCCCAAAUGUUUCCAGUCUUAAGAUUUACGGAAUUUGAAGCCUUUCCCAAAGAUCCAAUCUUCCAGAUAAAAGGAAAAUAUAAUAUAGCAUUCCAAUAAAAAUAAGAUAUUCUGGGGUUUCCAUUUUUAAUUAUACCAAUUUUUAAUGUUCAUUAAAUAUAUUUCCCUCUGCCAA
rnacentral:lncRNA from 1 species